rnacentral:lncRNA from 1 species
AGGAAGAAGCUGAAAGGCCAAAUCAGAGAGAUGGGGAGUGGAAGUGGCAGACAUAGAUUCUGACAUAGAUACUGGAAUCCCCAAGGAGACAAUUAGGUGGGCUGCUCUGUGUCACCUUGCAGAUGACUUGGGCCAUUGGGCUGGGGGAGGAGGAAUGUGAGUUGACCAUGUACCAAGAGAGGAAGUGGCCAAAGAGGACACUGAGACCACCAACAACCUCCUCAGGAAAUUCCCAAUUUCUGGAAAGGGCAAAGUGAACAACUCAGUCAAGGAGGUACAUAAAUUCUCUAUAAGAGAAGUAAUAAUAAAAAUGACAUGAGAAAUUCAGCAAUGUGACUUAAGGAAGCCCAGACUGUGUGGAGCUGACAUUUGAGUCAUGUUAAUAGUGGAGCACCUAAAUGCCUGAGGACUGGUGGUUUCCAUCAGAUCUGUGAUCUUAUAAUGAACACCUCACCUUGAGAAAAUUUGGGAUGGACUUUGCUCCUGGCAAAUAAAACUAAGAUAAGCUGGGACUUGCCCUUUCCCUCUUCACUGGUCCCUGUUGGCACUGACUCCCUGCAUAGGCCCCACCUAAACACUUUUCUCAAAGUCUCAUGGGUAUCUGACCCCCAGCACCUGUCUACCCUGGUAUCCAGGACUGGCCUUGUUCAUCCCAUUGUGACAGAACCCCAGAGUCCUCUGCUGUCACCCCUUGCUGAUUGUGAACUGAGUACCCAAGUGGAUUUAACCAGCACUAGGAAAACAUAGGUCCAUCAUGACCAUAUUUUCAGAGCCACCAAUCUGGAUAUGCAGUCAGGUGGGACUU